GACGAACGCUGGCGGCGUGCUUAACACAUGCAAGUCGAACGGAAAGGCCCUGCUUUUGUGGGGUGCUCGAGUGGCGAACGGGUGAGUAACACGUGAGUAACCUGCCCUUGACUUUGGGAUAACUUCAGGAAACUGGGGCUAAUACCGGAUAGGAGCUCCUGCUGCAUGGUGGGGGUUGGAAAGUUUCGGCGGUUGGGGAUGGACUCGCGGCUUAUCAGCUUGUUGGUGGGGUAGUGGCUUACCAAGGCUUUGACGGGUAGCCGGCCUGAGAGGGUGACCGGCCACAUUGGGACUGAGAUACGGCCCAGACUCCUACGGGAGGCAGCAGUGGGGAAUAUUGCACAAUGGGCGGAAGCCUGAUGCAGCAACGCCGCGUGCGGGAUGACGGCCUUCGGGUUGUAAACCGCUUUCGCUUGUGGCGAAGCGUGAGUGACGGUAAUGGGUAAAGAAGCACCGGCUAACUACGUG
rnacentral:rRNA from 1 species